CGGCAGAGCCUAUCCACAAGCGCACGAUGGACUUCAGACCUAUCAGCUAGACGGUAGGGUAUUGGCCUACCAUGGCGAUGACGGGUACAGAGGAUUAGGGUUU
rnacentral:rRNA from 1 species